UACGUAGGGUGCGAGCGUUGUCCGGAAUUAUUGGGCGUAAAGAGCUUGUAGGCGGUUUGUCGCGUCUGCUGUGAAAACUCAGGGCUUAACCCUGAGCUUGCAGUGGGUACGGGCAGACUAGAGUGCGGUAGGGGAGACUGGAAUUCCUGGUGUAGCGGUGAAAUGCGCAGAUAUCAGGAGGAACACCGGUGGCGAAGGCGGGUCUCUGGGCCGUAACUGAC
rnacentral:rRNA from 1 species